rnacentral:tRNA from 1 species
GUUUGUGGCUCAGGGGUAGAGCACUUGCCUAGCAUGUGUGGGGCCCUGGGUUUGAUUCUCAGCAUCACA